rnacentral:lncRNA from 10 species
GCCAUGGCAGAAAGUCUCUGUCUGCUGGGGCCUGAGAGCUCCCCGCAGGCCAUGCUGAAAGGAAGGAAAGUCUCAGACCUCACUGAGUUGGGACCACUGGCUGCCAGGAGACCACCCCAAACAUCAGAACCCAAGGGAACAAGAGGUCAAGACUCCCUGCCCUAAAGGCCAACACCAAAUUAAUGAGCAACUUUCCAAGCAGCUUCGUGAAAGUUUCUUGUAGUUUUCUUUGAUCUGUAUGACAGUUCAUUGUCCCGAAGAGCUAUGUCAUCCUUGGAUUUGAUGGCUUCACUGUGUACUCCUUUUUAUUUGAAAGAAAAAAGAAGCCAACUGAAAAGAGAUCUGAGCGCUGAUCCCCGUGAGAAAGGACAAAGUCACAUCCAAAGAAGCCGUUAUGCUGCCUUUGUUCCUGGACUCUACAGAGAUCCAUAUCCAGUGUGAAACAUCUCUCUGAUCACGUAUUAGAAGUCAGCAAAUAUCAUUGAAUGCAUGAAAUGAAUCAAUCCCAUGGAAAUUUAGUUUUAAACGAAGCUUUAUUGUGAAAGAUUUCAAGCAUUGGGAAGUAAAUUGCUGGGAGCAAGCCCCCCAAAAUCUGGCUAUAAACCAGCCCCAAAACUGCCCAUAAACAAAAUCUCUGCAGCACUGUGACAUGUUCAUAAUGGCACUAACGCCCAAGCUGGAAGGUUGUGGGUUUACGGGAAUGAGGGCAAGGAACACCUGGCCCGCCCAGGGCGGAAAACCGCUUAAAGGCAUUCUUAAGCCACAAACAAUAGCAUGAGCGAUCUGUGUCUUAAGGGCAUGUUCCUGCUGCAGUUAAUUAGCCCAACCUAGUCCUUUAAUUUGGCCCAUCCCUUCAUUUCCCAUAAGGGAUACUUUUAGUUAAUUUAAUAUCUAUAGAAACAAUGCUAGUGACUGGUUUGCUGUUAAUAAAUAUGUGGGUAAAUCUCUGUUCAGGGCUCUCAGCUCUGAAGGCUGUGAGACCCCUGAUUUCCCACUUCACACCU